rnacentral:rRNA from 1 species
UUGACGCUGGCGGCGGCUUAACACAUGCAAGUCGAGCGGAUAGAGGUAGCUUGCUACUGAUUUUAGCGGCGGACGGGUGAGUAAUGCUUAGGAAUCUGCCURUUAGUGGGGGACAACAUUUCGAAAGGAAUGCUAAUACCGCAUACGUCCUACGGGAGAAAGCGGGGGAUCUUCGGACCUUGCGCUAAUAGAUGAGCCUAAGUCGGAUUAGCUAGUUGGUGGGGUAAAGGCYUACCAAGGCGACGAUCUGUAACGGGUCUGAGAGGAUGAUCCGCCACACUGGGACUGAGACACGGUCCAGACUCCUACGGGAGGCAGCAGUGGGGAAUAUUGGACAAUGGGCGCAAGCCUGAUCCAGCCAUGCCGCGUGUGUGAAGAAGGCCUUAUGGUUGUAAAGCACUUUAAGCGAGGAGGAAGGUCCUUUAGUUAAUACCUAGAUAUAGUG